AUUGAACGCUGGCGGCAGGCUUAACACAUGCAAGUCGAGCGGAGAUGAGGUGCUUGCACCUUAUCUUAGCGGCGGACGGGUGAGUAAUGCUUAGGAAUCUGCCUAUUAGUGGGGGACAACAUUCCGAAAGGAAUGCUAAUACCGCAUACGUCCUACGGGAGAAAGCAGGGGAUCUUCGGACCUUGCGCUAAUAGAUGAGCCUAAGUCGGCUUAGCUAGUUGGGGGGGUAAAGGCCUACCAAGGCGACGAUCUGUAGCGGGUCUGAGAGGAUGGUCGGCCACACUGGGACUGAGACACGGCCCAGACUCCUACGAGAGGCAGCAGUGGGGAAUAUUGGACAAUGGGGGGAACCCUGAUCCAGCCAUGCCGCGUGUGUGAAGAAGGCCUUAUGGUUGUAAAGCACUUUAAGCGAGGAGGAGGCUACUGAGACUAAUACUCUUGGAUAGUGGACGUUACUCGCAGAAUAAGCACCGGCUAACUCUGUGCCAGCAGCCGCCGUAACAC
rnacentral:rRNA from 1 species